UCCUCCAUCAAAAACUCUUCCAAUCUCGGAAGCUAAGCCUGGUUAGUACUUGGAUGGGAGAACGCCUGAGAAUACCAGGUGCUGUAGGCU
ensembl:rRNA 5S_rRNA 5S ribosomal RNA